GCUGCUCCUAGAGGCUUUGCAGGUAUAGCUAUUGUGCCACUCGUGUAUCAAUAGGUGGCAGAGAGGAGAGAGGCUAUGUCUACACUCAGUGUUCUGACCAAUAAAUAUCUGAAUGAUUAGUAACCUAACAUU